rnacentral:rRNA from 1 species
AACAGCGUUCUCAGUGCAUAAAAGGAAAUAUACGUGUGGUAGAGGAGCGUUCUGUAAGCCUGUGAAGGUGUGACCGUGAGGCAUGCUGGAGGUAUCAGAAGUGCGAAUGCUGACAUGAGUAACGAUAAUGUGGGUGAAAAACCUACACGCCGAAAACCCAAGGGUUCCUGCGCAACGCUAAUCGGCGCAGGGUGAGUCGGCCCCUAAGGCGAGACCGAAAGGUGUAGUCGAUGGGAAACUGGUUAAUAUUCCAGUACUUGUUAUUACUGCGAUGGAGUGACGGAGAAGGCUAGAUCUACCGAGCGUUGGUUGUCUCGGGGAAAGUAUGUAGGCAGAGGGCUUAGGAAAAUCCGGGUUCUUAAUGUCGAGAUACGAGACCAGUGGCCUUUGUGCCGCGAAGUGGUCGAUGCCAUGCUUCCAGGAAAAGCUUCUAAGCUUCAGGUAGUAACGAACCGUACCGUAAACCGACACAGGUGGGUGAGGAGAGAAUCCUAAGGCGCUUGAGAGAACUCGGGUGAAGGAACUAGGCAAAUUGGUACCGUAACUUCGGGAGAAGGUACGCCCCUGUCGGUGAUGAGACUUGCUCUCUAAGCUGGUGGGGGUAGCAUUAACCAGGUGGCUGCGACUGUUUACUAAAAACACAGCACUCUGCAAACUCGUAAGAGGAAGUAUAGGGUGUGACGCCUGCCCGGUGCCGGAAGGUUAAUUGAUGAGGUUAGUCUUCGGACGAAGCUUUUGAUCGAAGCCCCGGUAAACGGCGGCCGUAACUAUAACGGUCCUAAGGUAGCGAAAUUCCUUGUCGGGUAAGUUCCGACCUGCACGAAUGGCGUAACGACGGCCACACUGUCUCCACCCGGGACUCAGUGAAAUUGAAAUCGCUGUGAAGAUGCAGUGUACGCGCGGCUAGACGGAAAGACCCCGUGCACCUUUACUACAGCUUUGCACUGGACUUUGAACAUGUUUGUGUAGGAUAGCUGGGAGGCUUUGAAGCGUGAUCGCUAGAUUGCGUGGAGCCAAUCUUGAAAUACCAGCCUGAUAUGUUUGAGGUUCUAACCUAGGUCCCUUAUCGGGAUCGGGGACAGUGUAUGGUGGGUAGUUUGACUGGGGCGGUCUCCUCCUAAAGAGUAACGGAGGAGUACAAAGGUACUCUCAGUGCGGUCGGACAUCGCACGUUGCGUAUAAAGGCAUAAGAGUGCUUGACUGCGAGACAUACACGUCGAGCAGGGACGAAAGUCGGUCUUAGUGAUCCGGUGGUUCUGUAUGGAAGGGCCAUCGCUAAUCGGAUAAAAGGUACGCCGGGGAUAACAGGCUGAUUCCUCCCAAGAGUCCACAUCGACGGAGGAGUUUGGCACCUCGAUGUCGGCUCAUCACAUCCUGGGGCUGUAGCAGGUCCCAAGGGUAUGGCUGUUCGCCAUUUAAAGUGGUACGCGAGCUGGGUUUAGAACGUCGUGAGACAGUUCGGUCCCUAUCUGCCGUGCGCGUUGGAAACUUGAAGGAAGCUGCUCCUAGUACGAGAGGACCGGAGUGGACGAACCUCUGGUGUUCCGGUUGUCACGCCAGUGGCAUUGCCGGGUAGCUAAGUUCGGACGGGAUAACCGCUGAAAGCAUCUAAGCGGGAAGCCCCUCCUAAGAUAAGGUUUCCCUUGAUCCUUGAGAUCACUUAAGGGCCGUUGAAGACUACAACGUUGAUAGGCUGGGUGUGGAAGUUCAGUAAUGAAUGAAGCUAACCAGUACUAAUUGCCCGUGAGGCUUGACCAU